rnacentral:rRNA from 1 species
UACGGAGGGGGCUAGCGUUGUUCGGAAUUACUGGGCGUAAAGCGCACGUAGGCGGCUUUGUAAGUUAGAGGUGAAAGCCUGGAGCUCAACUCCAGAAUUGCCUUUAAGACUGCAUCGCUUGAAUCCAGGAGAGGUGAGUGGAAUUCCGAGUGUAGAGGUGAAAUUCGUAGAUAUUCGGAAGAACACCAGUGGCGAAGGCGGCUCACUGGACUGGUAUUGACGCUGAGGAACGAAAGCGUGGGUAGCGAACAGG